CCUUAAGCGUUUAUUUGACUUAAUUGCCAUGAAGUUUGCUGUGAAAAAGACAUAAAUGUAUAUUUUUCUUGCAGUACUCACAUAAUCUGACUCAUAUCUGAGGAAUUUGGACGUAAAACAUUUUAUAACAACACUGGAACUGAAGUCAUUUUCAUUCUCCUUGUCUGAUCAUACUUUCCUGAAUUAUUUGGGUAAUUUCAUGGGUAGUAAGCAUCCUCUCUUUAAGGGGUAACAUUUUUGAGAGUCUGCCUAUCAGAGCUAAACUUGAGGGGAAAAAGAGCUGAGUUGUAGAUUAGAGGAAUAAAUGGUCUUCCCUUUUCUCAAUCUGUAUGGACAAAGAAAGGAGAUAGAUUUUGUUGUAAGCCACAAUACAUUUCUUGCACUCCCGGCCUCAAGUGAUCUUCCCCCACCUUGCCCUCCCAAAGAGCUGGGAUUACAGGUGUGAGCCACUGUACCUGGCCAUAGUACAUUUCUGAUCCAUUAAAAUGCAGACACAGACUGGAGUUAGGAGUUUUAGCUGCCCCAUUUCUUUGGCUUUUGUUAUUUUAGCACAUGCGACAUAACUUCAAUGGCUGGCACCUGCAUCUCUGUGCCUGGGGGCUUCUCCUGGUUCCUAGGGAUUUGCUGUUUCUACAAUAGGUGGGAGAUACUGAGGCUCUUCACCUCCAGUUCAGCUCCAAACCAAGAACUGUUAGGAGUUGGUAGAUAAAUGCCUCCUCUCCCUCACCCCUUGGAUGAGACAACUCUGAGUUGUCCAGUUGACACGGGUCCCAGCAGAAUGAAUCUCCAGUUGCCCACGGUGGCAGCACGCCUGGUUAUGCACACUUCUUCAGCUUCCUUUACUUCCCUGCUUAGUUUAGUCCUUAUUCUCCAGGAGGAUCUUCCAAGUAAACUCCUGGCCUUUGAAUCCCUGCCUUGGGCCCUCUUCAGAAGAUCCUCAGACCAAGACAGGAGUGUAGAUGCCAGGACUGCAACUGCACUUUUGCCACAAACAGCAAACCUGGGGGGAAGAGAUUCUGUUGGCCAACCUUAUCGCUGUGACCAGCUGAUCAGGUCUAGG
rnacentral:lncRNA from 10 species